UACGUAGGGGGCAAGCGUUAUCCGGAUUUACUGGGUGUAAAGGGAGCGCAGACGGAACUGCAAGUCUGAUGUGAAAGCCCGGGGCUCAACCGCGGGACUGCAUCGGAUACUGUGGAUCUGGAGUGCCGGAGGGGCAAGCGGAAUUCCUGGUGUAGCGGUGAAAUGCGUAGAUAUCAGGAGGAACACCGGCGGCGAAGGCGGCUUGCUGGACGGCAACUGACGUUGAGGCUCGAAAGCGUGGGGAGCAAACAGG
rnacentral:rRNA from 1 species